AAAGCCAUGCUGAACGUGCAGAAGUCAGCCGAAGCCAUAGUACCUUGGGGGGAAAAAAAACCCAAGGGAAGGGC
rnacentral:ncRNA from 1 species